GCACUAUUUACUUUUUUGGUCAGUUUUGGCUUAUAAAUACUGUAAUCAGUUACCCUAACCUCUAAAAUUAAUAAAAUAUCAUUUUGCUCCUAUUCAUUCUUUUUUAUGAUUGAAUUUUUACCUUUGCAUUUGUGGUUGAUUUUACGACCCCAUCUUCAUUAAGAUACUCAUCGAAUUGACGUUGGAGAUAUGUUGGUGAGGUCUUCCUUCAUUUAGUCUACGCCUCCCCUUGAGUUAGGUAUGGGUUUGAGACUUUAAGGGUCAUUUGUUGCAUUUAGGAUGUCCAAGGCUCAAUUUGUUUAGGAUCCC
rnacentral:lncRNA from 1 species